UCCGCUUCAAUAGCCCUCAUUCGAGCAUCAGCUUUUUGGACCUUCUCCUCCAUGGAGGCUCUGAAUUGAUCAAAGUUUAUUGAGUUCCCACAAAAGAGACAAAAGGCCGACUGCAUGAAGCAAGAAGUAAGAGACAAAAAAAAGACAAGGGAAGAACCACAAUUUGACCAAAAAGGUAGACUUUUCAUUAGCUAAAAGCAUCGUUAUAGGUCUUUUCUUCAUUACAAAAGUUCAAAGGAAAACAAAGACAAGUACAAAAGAACUAAGCCUCUGAAGAGGUGCUAGCAACCUCAACAUGGGGU
rnacentral:lncRNA from 1 species